rnacentral:tRNA from 1 species
UUUUAGGGAGACCUACCCAACUUGUUGAUUGUACUUUAGUACUCAAAAACCAACAAGAAGGUCAUCACCUAGGUCGGUUGUUAAUGCAAUGUGGCUAUCAAACUGUAUUAUUUGGUUCGUAAUGGGCUAUUAGCUCAGGUGGUUAGAGCGCACCCCUGAUAAGGGUGAGGUCCCUGGUUCGAGUCCAGGAUGGCCCACAUUUGUUUGGGGGUUUAGCUCAGUUGGUAGAGCGCCUGCUUUGCAAGCAGGAUGUCAGCGGUUCGAGUCCGCUAACCUCCACAUUUACAUAGCAUUUAUUGAAAAAAUUCAAAAUAAAUGUUAGUAUGAUUGUAUUGGAAAGUUCAGCAACUGUCGUUAUUAAGAUAACUCAGCCUGCUGGAUGUAUGUCCAGUAAAGAACCUUGAAAACUGCAUAGUGACGCAAAUUGUAGGCAGUAACUGCAUUGUUCGUAUUAAUUACUAAAGUAAUUAAUAUGUAAAUACAGGAAUUGAAUUACAGAUAAUCCUUUGAAUUGUAUUGAAUU